rnacentral:rRNA from 1 species
AGUGAACGCUGGCGGUAGGCCUAACACAUGCAAGUCGAACGGCAGCACAGUAAGAGCUUGCUCUUACGGGUGGCGAGUGGCGGACGGGUGAGGAAUACAUCGGAAUCUACUUUUUCGUGGGGGAUAACGUAGGGAAACUUACGCUAAUACCGCAUACGACCUACGGGUGAAAGCAGGGGAUCUUCGGACCUUGCGCGAUUGAAUGAGCCGAUGUCGGAUUAGUUAGUUGGCGGGGUAAAGGCCCACCCAGGCGACGAUCCGUAGCUGGUCUGAGGGGAUGAUCAGCCACACUGGAACUGAGACACGGUCCAGACUCCUACGGGAGGCAGCAGUGGGGAAUAUUGGACAAUGGGCGCAAGCCUGAUCCAGCCAUACCGCGUGGGUGAAGAAGGCCUUCGGGUUGUAAAGCCCUUUUGUUGGGAGAGAAAAGCAGCAGGUUAAUACCCCGCUGUUCUGACGGUACCCAAAGAAUAAGCACCGGCUAACUUCGUG